UACGUAGGGUGCAAGCGUUGUCCGGAAUUAUUGGGCGUAAAGAGCUCGUAGGCGGUGUGUCGCGUCGGCCGUGAAAACCUGCAGCUUAACUGUGGGCUUGCGGUCGAUACGGGCAUCACUGGAGUUCGGCAGGGGAGACUGGAAUUCCUGGUGUAGCGGUGAAAUGCGCAGAUAUCAGGAGGAACACCGGUGGCGAAGGCGGGUCGCUGGGCCGAUACUGACGCUGAGGAGCGAAAGCGUGGGGAGCGAACAGG
rnacentral:rRNA from 1 species